UCAGCAUCACGUGUGUUUUCCUCACACAUAAACAAUAUUUUAGGCAGAGUUAUUUGCAGUACUCUGGUGUAGACAAUAAACACACAAAGCUAUUUUGUGAAAACGUGCAGCUCUUAAUUUAAAUCUGACUUUUGCUCUUAAAUCUUCAAAAAGAUGUGGAGAAGGACAGGAAAAAUAUGGGUGGGUUGUUCCUAUGCAGAAGGCUGGAAGCCCAAGAACAGAAUGGGACCCUCUGUCUCUAGUGAGAUGCUGCUGAGUUCCAGGCACCUCAAGACCUCAUUCUGCAGAUGGUGCUGA
rnacentral:lncRNA from 1 species